rnacentral:miRNA from 1 species
ACUCCGAGUUUCGAUCGGGAAC